CCAAAUGUAGGAUUCUUGGUUGACAGCUUUUUUCCUUCGAUGCUUUCAACACAUCAACCCAUGCCUUCUAGCCUCCAAGGUUUCUGAUGAGAAAUCUCCUCACAACCUUAUCAGUGAAAAUAUGAUGAAAAGCAAUCUUCCUCUGAGCUUUAUAGAUGUUAAUAAUGAGCCUUAUCGUGUUUUACACAACACAACAUUUCCUUAUACGUUGUAGCACCAUUUUGAGACCAGGAACUGAGUCUUUUAAGUGUAGACAUUACGAGGUCUAUACGAGCCAAAAUUACAGUUUUCUAAACUUGAAGUGAAAAGGCCACUGAACCAUCUUACAGAUUUUGAUUUCUAACAAAGUAACUAUCAAUCUUGAAAAGCCCACACAAACAAACAAAAAGCCCAUUGGGGGUCUUUUUUUUUUAUUGAGUAAAGGAGUUUUGGGAGUAAAAAGUGAGGAAACCACUGUGGUCUCAGACAUCCCCAGCCAUGAUUGCAUAAUUGGCCCAUUUCUUGCUGUGCCCUCACAAAGCCCCAUGGUGAAGUCAUGGCAAGACCUGUCUAUAUAAGACCCUGGCUCGGCUGGGUGUUUGGUCUUUACAGCCCAGGAAGCCUUGGUGACCUGUCGGCCUUUGACCCUAGCUAGUUUGAUUUUGAUUCUCUUUUUUUCAUUUUGUUUGUUUUUUUAUUUUCAUUUUUCUUUCUUCUCUACUCCUUUUCUCUCCCAAUUUUUUUUGCCUUUUUCUGUUUUUACUUUUUUCUUUUUUUCUUUUUUAGUUUUUCUUUUUCUCAAUUUUUUUUCGUUUCCUCCCUUCAUUUUCUUUGUGUGUGUGUGUGUGUGUGUGUGUGUGUGUGUGUGUGUGUGAGUGUGUGUGCACGUGUGUGUUUCUCAUUUGGUUUUUUUUUGUGUGUUAGCGUUUUAGUACAGUCAGUAUAGUUCAUAUUGUUAGUAUAGUUCAUAUUGUUAGUAUAGUUCAUAAGCAUAGUAUUGUUAGUAUUGGCAAAUUUUGUAGGUUGGUAUUGUUGGUUAGCAUAGUCUGUGUAAUUAGCAUUAUUUAGCGUUAGUAUAGUUAGUAGGUCACCAUGCUUCAGGGGCGUAAGGCCAUUACUGCUGGUGAGGAGGACUUCUGUAUUUACAAGAUCUGCGAGACCACCAGUGAGGGCGGUGUCCCCAUAAUGAAUCUGGCCUCGAACAUCCUAACCAGUCAGCAGUCUGAUGUGAAGUUCAUCAGGAAAACCCAGAAGGACCCCACUGGCCUCCAGGGACUUUGUCUUGAAGCCCAGAAUAUGAAGACCUCAAGUCACCCAAAUAUUGUCAAGUCACUCGAGGUGAUCAACACCAAGGAAAUGUUAGUCCUCUCUUCAGAAUACGCAGAGACAACUAGUGUGAUGAUUUUACGCACCGUGGCCAAGUGAUGGAGGAGGUUCCAGACAAAUUCUGCCAGCUGUUAUCGGUUGUGGAGUACUACCACCAACAAGGUAUGAUCAGCGGGUAUCUGAAGCUAGAGACACUGCUUUUUGACAAGGAGCUGAAGCAAAGGGAGGACACCCCUUCCGCAAACGCUUGCAGCCUGGGGGUGCUUUGGUACUGCUUGGCCACCGGGUUGGAGCCGUUUGAGGGGGAAGUCUUCUGGGACGCGGAACGAAAUAUCGAAAACCGGGAACACAGUGCUUUGAUUUUCAUGUCCCUGGAGAGUGAGAACAUGUGGUACACGUUGACAACUAUCCAGCCCACGAUCAGGACACCAAGAAGAAUCUGCUGCUGGGGCCCCAUCCCAACCUGUUCCAGCACAGGCCUGUCCUCAGAGCGGAGUAGUCUGACCUCUGAAGGGACUACCAUAGUGACCACGAUUAGCGGGCCCAGAUUCAACUCGCCAGCCACAAACUCUGACACCAGCAGUGAAUACAGGCAGCCAGGGAGGAUGCCCCUAGAGCCAAAAAAUCAGGUUCUCAAACAUCUCAAUAAAUUAAAAAAUGUAUUUAAAAAAAAUAAUAAAAUACAACCCCCAAAAAAUGCAAAUAAAUGAGAGCCAGAAGAGA